UGUACACACCAUCUGCUGCUUCACUGGUAGAAAUAAAGAGAGAAGAAUGCAAUUCAUAUAGUUUUCUAGCUGGGGAAUUUUGGUUGUGUUUGCGAUGUUAGGUCUAUUUUGUAUACAGCGCGCAAACAGCGCGCUGUCACGCCGAUGCUUGGGAAUGCUCUGACGACAACAUUGCCCACUACCAGUCCAACCACGUCCCUCUAAAUCCAGGCAGAAGCGGGUGAUGGCUUCUCGGAAGAGCGCCCAAAUCGACCUACUACUCCGCUAAAACAUGAGACAAUGAGAACAGAGAUAGGCUGAAUAAAAAAUGGGGGAGACAGACCAGAGAGCGGUGGUUGUUUCUUAUCGACUCUGGACUGUGUUCAUAAGGAACAAAACAGAUGUGUAGCUUGUGUUUCGCAUCCAGGCCUGGCACACGAAGCAUUUCCAGAAAGGAAGAUAAGGCACCCAAGCAGUAUGAUACGUGCUUAAUGGGAUGUCUGCAACAGAUUACGCGGUUGCUUCUGCUAAACGCGAAAUGACAUGCAUAUCGAAAUUUUCUCCAUUUCCACGUCUGCAAGGCAAAUACUAUGGGACCUCACAGUAUCAUCGUUGUGCUCAAAUGAAACCCUCGGCUAUCAACAAUUAUCUCAAAAUUGCGACUUGCUUUGCGUCUGUGAUGUGGCAUAGCGACCUUCAUACAAGCAACAUAUUUAACGGUCCAAAUGCCGCAGUCAAAAUCGUCGGGGUGAUAGAUUGGCAAUUUGUUCAUCCCUGUCUGCCUUUUUUUUUUUUUUUUUUUUCAAGCACUCACCCCAGCUCUCUUAAACUUCGAUGAGGCCGCUUCCCGAAUCCCUUGAAGAUUUUAACCCCCUGAGCCACGUGGAGCAAGUGAAGACUAUGAUCCCAGUCUCUACACACACUCUAUGAGGUUGCUUGCUUCAAGACCAACCCUGAGAUGUACGGGGCCAUACAAAUCACGCAGAUUACAGGCUUAAUUGGAUUGGUGGUUAGCGACGGGGAGCCGUAUAUCCAAAGUCUACUUAUACUUGUGCAGGACAGUUGGGAGCAACUAGGAAAACACAUUGAGCAUAAACGGAUGCCUUGUCCCUUAUACUACUCAGAAAAGCAUGAUAAAUCAAUUGCAUUGAGCUAGAACAACACAACCGCAGCGUUGAGCUUACAGACCACCUUGUACACGAUAUAGAAGUGGACGAAAGGUGCAAUAGGUAGGCUAGUAGCACUGAUUAUGAAACUAUACAGUUCAAGGUUCACAAUGCUUGAGAUCAGUUUAUUGAAUGUGAGCCC
rnacentral:sRNA from 1 species